rnacentral:RNase_P_RNA from 1 species
GAAGCUGGCCAGGCAGUCGCUGCCCGCCGCGGUUCGCGCCGCGCGCGGGGAGAGGAAAGUCCGGGCUCCGAAGAGCAGGAUGCCGGCUAACGGCCGGGCGCCGUGAGGCGACGGAAAGUGUCCCUGUAGGGAUGCUUCGGUGGAGACCAACUCGCGCAGCAGGUCAUGUCGGAACGAAAGGCGCCACACGCGCCUGAGUGACCGUGCGGGGCUCUCCGCUGGAGCGCAACAGAAAGCAUACCGCCCAAGCGUUUUCCGACGGACGCCGGCAAGGGUGAAACGGUGGCGCAUCUUGACGGAUGCGGCGUUCUCGUGCCACAAGGCGCGAGCGUGGUAAGAGCCCACCGCGUUCGUGGUGACACGGACGGCACGGCAAACCCCAUCCGGAGCAAGACCGAAUAGGGAAGCGACAGCGUGGCUCGCGCUGCUUCCGGGUAGGUCGCUUGAGCAUGCGGGUGACCGCAUGCCUAGAGAAAU